rnacentral:sRNA from 1 species
AUUGUCAAUGAUUAGCUGAGCUCUCUUUCCAAGAAUGCAGGGAUUCUGAAGCUGCCUGCUUGAGUUACUGUGCUCUCUUCCAAGGCUGUAGGAGUUCUGGAGCUGCUGGCUAGAGAGGAGGGUGGACCAAGCUCUCCCCAGAAAGACAUCCUGAGAGGACUUGGCAGGCCUGAAUAUGCAUUGGCUGCGAAAAGUUCAGGGACUUUGCACCCUGUGGGGUACUCAGAUGUCCAGCCGCACUCUCUACAUUAAUAGUAGGCAACUGGUGUCCCUGCAGUGGGGCCACCAGGAACUGCCGGCCAAGUUUAACUUUGCUAGUGAUGUGUUGGAUCACUGGGCUGACAUGGAGAAGGCUGGCAAGCGACCCCCAAGCCCAGCCCUGUGGUGGGUGAAUGGGAAGGGGAAGGAAUUAAUGUGGAAUUUCAGAGAACUGAGUGAAAACAGCCAGCAGGCAGCCAACGUCCUCUCGGGAGCCUGUGGCCUGCAGCGUGGGGAUCGUGUGGCAGUGGUGCUGCCCCGAGUGCCUGAGUGGUGGCUGGUGAUCCUGGGCUGCAUUCGAGCAGGUCUCAUCUUUAUGCCUGGAACCAUCCAAAUGAAAUCCACUGACAUACUGUAUAGGUUGCAGAUGUCUAAGGCCAAGGCUAUUGUUGCUGGGGAUGAAGUCAUCCAAGAAGUGGACACAGUGGCAUCUGAAUGUCCUUCUCUGAGAAUUAAGCUACUGGUGUCUGAGAAAAGCUGCGAUGGGUGGCUGAACUUCAAGAAACUGCUAAAUGAGGCAUCUACCACUCAUCACUGUGUGGAGACUGGAAGCCAGGAAGCAUCUGCCAUCUACUUCACUAGUGGGACCAGUGGUCUUCCCAAGAUGGCAGAACAUUCCCACUCAAGCCUGGGCCUCAAGGCCAAGAUGGAUGCUAGUUGGACAGGCCUGCAAGCCUCUGAUAUAAUGUGGACCAUAUCAGACACAGGUUGGAUACUGAACAUCUUGUGCUCACUUAUGGAACCUUGGGCAUUAGGAGCAUGCACAUUUGUUCAUCUCUUGCCAAAGUUUGACCCACUGGUUAUUCUAAAGACACUCUCCAGUUAUCCAAUCAAGAGUAUGAUGGGUGCCCCCAUUGUUUACCGGAUGUUGCUACAGCAGGAUCUUUCCAGUUACAAGUUCCUCCAUCUACAGAACUGCGUCACUGUAGGGGAGUCCCUUCUUCCAGAAACUCUGGAGAACUGGAGGGCCCAGACAGGACUGGACAUCCGAGAAUCCUAUGGCCAGACAGAAACGGGAUUAACUUGCAUGGUUUCCAAGACAAUGAAAAUCAAACCAGGAUACAUGGGAACGGCUGCUUCCUGUUAUGAUGUACAGAUCAUAGAUGAUAAGGGCAACGUCCUGCCCCCUGGCACAGAAGGAGACAUUGGCAUCAGGGUCAAACCCAUCAGGCCUAUAGGCAUCUUCUCUGGCUAUGUGGACAAUCCCGAGAAGACAGCAGCCAACAUUCGAGGAGACUUUUGGCUCCUUGGAGACCGGGGAAUCAAAGAUGAAGAUGGGUAUUUCCAGUUUAUGGGACGGGCAGAUGAUAUCAUUAACUCCAGCGGGUACCGGAUUGGACCCUCGGAGGUAGAGAAUGCACUGAUGGAGCACCCUGCUGUGGUUGAGACGGCUGUGAUCAGCAGUCCAGACCCCGUCCGAGGAGAGGUGAUGGGGAAGCAGUAGCCUGGGGGUGAACACAUAUGAACACAAGGGCAGUGUAGUAUGUUGAUUUAAGAAUAGGGACUGUGUGGCUGAACACUCUGAGACCCAAUCUUGGCCCUGCCACUUACUAGCUAUGUGACCUUGGGCAAGCUACUUGGCCUCUCUGUUUCUCAGUUUCCCCAUCUGUAAGAUGAGGGAUUGUUAUGAGGGUUAAAUGUGCUAAUAUUUG